rnacentral:rRNA from 1 species
CCUACGGGAGACAGCAGUGGGGAAUCUUGCGCAAUGGGCGAAAGCCUGACGCAGCAACGCCGCGUGGGUGAUGAAGGUCUUCGGAUUGUAAAACCCUGUCGUUAGGGACGAAGACAUGAAUCCUAAUACGAUUCAUGUUUGACGGUACCUAGAAAGGAAGCCCCGGCUAACUCUGUGCCAGCAGCCGCGGUAAUACAGAGGGGGCAAGCGUUAUUCGGAAUUAUUGGGCGUAAAGGGUGCGUAGGCGGUUUUCUAAGUCAGAUGUGUAAUCCCCGAGCUCAACUUGGGAACUGCAUCUGAAACUGGGAGACUAGAGUACUGGAGAGGAUGGUGGAAUUCCACGUGUAGCGGUAAAAUGCGUAGAGAUGUGGAGGAACACCAGUGGCGAAGGCGGCCAUCUGGACAGUAACUGACGCUGAAGCACGAAAGUGUGGGUAGCAAACAGGAUUAGAUACCCUGGUAGUCCACACCGUAAACGAUGAACACUUGGUGUAGUGGGAGUUGACCCCCACUGUGCCGUAGCUAACGCGAUAAGUGUUCCGCCUGGGGAGUAACGGUCGCAAGGCUGAAACUUCAAAUUGAAUUGACGGCUUAGAGACGNGACGAGGCACGAGGAGGGAGAGG